rnacentral:snRNA from 1 species
CUUGAUCGAGUAAGAGGGU